UACGUAGGGUGCGAGCGUUAAUCGGAAUUACUGGGCGUAAAGCGUGCGCAGGCGGUUUUGCAAGCCGGAUGUGAAAUCCCCGGGCUUAACCUGGGAAUGGCAUUUGGGACUGCAAGGCUGGAGUGCGGCAGAGGAGACUGGAAUUCCUGGUGUAGCAGUGAAAUGCGUAGAUAUCAGGAGGAACACCGGUGGCGAAGGCGGGUCUCUGGGCCAUUACUGACGCUGAGGAGCGAAAGCGUGGGGAGCGAACAGG
rnacentral:rRNA from 1 species